GUCUGACAAUGGAAUUCAGGGUUGUGCACAACCCGAAUUGUGCUUUGGUUGUCAGAGAAGAGGCAUGUGGCUUGGCCUUGUUUGUAGUCUAGAUUUGCGAGUAGCCGACGAUACCAAAUAAUAUCUUUUGUGGUUGAUCCUGCUGCCACGUGCUCCGAUUCGGUGGUAGAUGUAGAAACACAAUUUUGCUUUCUACUACACCAGUGGACGGGUGUCCCAUUGAGUAGCAACAAUGUACCUAUGCAGGAUUUUUGAUCUGUGCCAUCCCCAGCAUAAUCCGCAUUCCCAUUUCCUUCGAGUAACAUUGUCUUGGUUGUGCUGCUGAAACAGAGUGCAAGGUGGAGAGUGCCCGUGAUGUAACAAAAAAAUUGUGCUACCGCCUGGUAGUGCUGGCAUUGUGGGCUUACUGGAAACUAAGCUAUGAUACUAACCGCAUAGCUAAUGUCGGGACGACUGAGGGUUUGUGCAUAUAAGAGGCACCCCUUAGCAGCAGAGUAGAGAAACAAUGGUGAAAGGGAUUCUCCGUCGCUGUCGAGCUUAGUGUUGGGAUCACCAGGCACAUUUACAAGAGUGCAUUCACUAAAACCGAAACGGCUCAAUAUUUGUUACAAGUAAAUUACUUGGUGGAUGAAAAUGUGUCCGCUGGUUUGAAGGCGAAAGAUGUGGAGUCCAACAUAUAGGUUGGCGUUUGAACAAGUGAUGCCCAAAUGUUGCUCCAUGUGGUGCACGAGGUCUUCGAGUCGGGCCAUUGAGUAGCAAGUGGCCAAACCAUUGUCCACAAAGAGAGUCACAAUGAGCCGCGGUUCUGAUUUCGAAAUAUAGAGAUAGGAAUCUGCCUUCGUUGCUUUGAGGUCGAACUUCAUGAAAGAAUCAUGGAAAGUCUGAUUCCAGAUCCGCUCGGAUUGCUUUAGGCUGUAUAAGCUCUUGAGCAAGAAGCACACUUUCUGCGAGUUGUUUUGACUCAUGGUUUCAAAACCCUACGGUUGUUGCAUGUAGAUCUCUGUGUCAAGUGAUCCAUACAAAAAUGAUGUGUGUAUGUCGAAUUGAAUAAUCGACAUGCGUUUUCGGGCUACGAUGGCAAGCACGGUUUGGAUGGACCCGUAUUUCACCACGGGGCUAAAUGUCUGGUCGUAGUCAACCCCAAAUUGUUGCGUAUAUCCCUUCGCAACAAGGCGUGCCUUGAACUUUGCGACGGUUCUGUCGGAAUGCAUCUUGACCCUGUACAUCUAUUUGCAGCGUACCAAUUUUCAAUCUGGAGGAAAAGACUGCUGGACGGAAAAGAGCCCUGAAAAUUCCGCAGGGUACCUUCCCUGGGGAGUGAUAGCUCAUCGAAGAUCACAUCUCGGCUUAUCACCAUCUUCCGCUACUACAUAUUCCAGAGCCGAUAUGCUUUGGUGUGGUAUAAUAUCCAACAAAGAUGGCCUUUAUGCUUUUGGGGUCCAAUUUGCUCCUCCUUGCCUUCAGAAUGUGGACAUAUGGCGUACACUCGAAGACACGCAAGUGUGACACCGUUGGCAUUUGUUCGGUCCAUAGCUUGUAUAGCAUCCUGUAGCUUCUUGUUCCGAAGGCUAUCUGGUUUAGGAGGUAGGCGGCGGUCUGUACUGCCUCUCCCUAGAAGUCAAGGCUCAACUUUUUUGUAUGCAGCAUUGCCUGCACACACUCUAUGAAUGUGCGGUUCUCCCUUUCGGCACUAUCGUUUUGCUUUGGAGUAUGGGGGCUAGUAAGGUCAUAUUGAAUCCCCGAAUUAGCUAAGAACUAUGUGAAUUCUUGGCUCAAAAAUUCACCCCCUUGAUCGUUGCGGAGCUUC